rnacentral:ncRNA from 1 species
AGUCUUCGGGGCAGGGUGAAAUUCCCGACCGGCGGUAUAGUCCGCGAGCCGCUUUUUCGGCACGAACCGGUGCGAUUCCGGUACCGACAGUACAGUCUGGAUGAAAGAAGACG